UACGGGGGGAGCAAGCGUUGUUCGGAUUUACUGGGCGUAAAGGGCGCGUAGGCGGCCACCGCAAGUCGGUUGUGAAAUCUCCGGGCUUAACCCGGAACGGUCAAUCGAUACUGCGGGGCUAGAGUGCAGAAGGGGCAACUGGAAUUCUCGGUGUAGCGGUGAAAUGCGUAGAUAUCGAGAGGAACACCUGCGGCGAAGGCGGGUUGCUGGGCUGACACUGACGCUGAGGCGCGAAAGCGUGGGGAGCGAACAGG
rnacentral:rRNA from 1 species